AAUGGGGGCAACCCUGAUCCAGCAAUGCCGCGUGAGUGAAGAAGGCUUUCGGGUUGUAAAGCUCUUUUGGCAGGGACGAUAAUGACGGUACCUGCAGAAUAAUCCCCGGCAAACUUCGUGCCAGCAGCCGCGGUAAUACGAAGGGGGCUAGCGUUGNUCGGAUUUACUGGGCGUAAAGGGCGCGUAGGCGGAUACUAAAGUUAGGCGUGAAAACCCUGGGCUCAACCUAGGACGUGCGUUUAAUACUGAGUAUCUAGAGUAUGUGAGAGGAUGGCGGAAUUACCAGUGUAGAGGUGAAAUUCGUAGAUAUUGGUAAGAACACCGGUGGCGAAGGCGGCCAUCUGGCGCAUAACUGACGCUGAGGCGCGAAAGCGUGGGGAUCAAA
rnacentral:rRNA from 1 species